rnacentral:rRNA from 1 species
ACGGCUCAGUAACACGUCAAUAAUCUAACCUUAGGUCUAGCAUAACUUCGGGAAACUGAUGAUAAUUCUGGAUAAGAUAUUUGUACUGGAAUGUCUUUUAUCUUAAAGCUUCGGUGCCUAAGGAUGAGUUGGCGGUGGAUUAGGUAGUUGGCGAGGUAAAGGCUCACCAAGCCGAAGAUCCAUAGGGGCCUUGAGAGAGGUAGCCCCGAGAAGGACACUGAGAAACUGGUCCUAGCCCUACGGGGUGCAGCAGGCGCGAAACCUUUACAAUGCACGCAAGUGUGAUAAGGGAAUCCCAAGUGCUCAUGCUAAGCAUGGGCUUUUGCCAAGAGUAAAUAUCUUGGCGAAUAAGUGAUGGGUAAGACUGGUGCCAGCAGCCGCGGUAACACCAGCGUCACGAGUGGCAACCGUAUUUAUUGGGUCUAAAGCGUCCGUAGCCGGUUUAAUAAGUCUUUUGUGAAAUCGUUGCGCUUAACGUAACGCUGUGCAAGAGAUACUGUUAGACUUGGAAUUGGGAAGAGUCAGAGGUAUUCUGGGGGGAGCGGUAAAAUGCUAUAAUCCUCAGAGGACCACCAGUGGCGAAAGCGUCUGACUAGAACAACUUCGACGGUGAGGGACGAAAGCCAGGGGAGCAAAACGGAUUAGAUACCCGAGUAGUCCUGGCCAUAAACGCUGUGAGCAAGGUGUCGCGUAUCCUUCGUGGAUGCGUGGUGUCGAAGAGAAGUCGUUAAGCUCACCACCUGGGAAGUAUGGUCGCAAGGCUGAAACUUAAAGGAAUUGGCGGGGGAGCAC